rnacentral:rRNA from 1 species
GACGAACGCUGGCGGCGUGCUUAACACAUGCAAGUCGAACGGUGAAGCGCCUUCCUUUUUGGUGGGUGUGGAUGAGUGGCGAACGGGUGAGUAACACGUGAGUAACCUGCCCCCUUCUUCUGGAUAACCGCAUGAAAGUGUGGCUAAUACGGGAUAUUCUGUGUCUGUCGCAUGAUGGGUCUGGGAAAGAUAUUGUUUCGGUGGGGGAUGGGCUCGCGGCCUAUCAGCUUGUUGGUGGGGUGAUGGCCUACCAAGGCGGUGACGGGUAGCCGGCCUGAGAGGGUGGACGGUCACACUGGGACUGAGACACGGCCCAGACUCCUACGGGAGGCAGCGGUGGGGAAUAUUGCACAAUGGGCGCAAGCCUGAUGCAGCGACGCCGCGUGAGGGAUGGAGGCCUUCGGGUUGUGAACCUCUUUCGCCAGUGAAGCAGGCCUGCCUCGUUUGUGGGUGGGUUGACGGUAGCUGGAUAAGAAGCGCCGGCUAACUACGUG